UACGUAGGCAGCGAGCGUUGUUCGGAGUUACUAUGCGUAAAGGGUGUGUAGGCGGUUUUCUAAGUUUGGUGUGAAAUCUCCCGCUCAACCGGGAGGGUGCGCCGAAAACUGGGAGACUAGAGUGCGGGAUGGGAGAGUAGAAUUCCUGGUGUAGCGGUGAAAUGCGUAGAUAUCAGGAGGAACACCUGUGGCGAAGGCGGCCAUCUGGACGACGACUGACGCUGAGACGCGAAAGCGUGGGUAGCAAACAGG
rnacentral:rRNA from 1 species